rnacentral:rRNA from 1 species
GACGAACGCUGGCGGCGUGCUUAACACAUGCAAGUCGAACGGAAAGGCCCUGCUUUUGUGGGGUGCUCGAGUGGCGAACGGGUGAGUAACACGUGAGUAACCUGCCCUUGACUUUGGGAUAACUUCAGGAAACUGGGGCUAAUACCGGAUAUGAGCUCCUGCUGCAUGGUGGGGGUUGGAAAGUUUCGGCGGUUGGGGAUGGACUCGCGGCUUAUCAGCUUGUUGGUGGGGUAGUGGCUUACCAAGGCUUUGACGGGUAGCCGGCCUGAGAGGGUUACCGGCCACAUUGGGACUGCGAUACGGACCAGACUCCUACGGGCGGCAGCAGUGGGGAAUAUUGCACAAUGGGCGGAAGCCUGAUGCAGCAACGCCGCGUGCGGGAUGCCGGCCUUCGGGUUGUAAACCGCCUUCGCCUGUGACGAAGCGUGAGUGACGGUAAUGGGUAAAGAAGCACCGGCUAACUACGUG